rnacentral:misc_RNA from 1 species
AAGUUCUGAUGAUGAAGAUGUAGAGUGAGACAGGGAGCUGCACAGAAUUACACGUUCCCUAUUUGCACUGUAUAAUAUUAGUUUCUACAAGAGCUUUGUGAAACAGAAAUCACUGACAAAGUGGUGGUCAGAGAAUGUAAAUAAUGUUGCUAAUCAUAUAACAAUUAUCAAUUAAACACAUGAUUAUUGAUUCCUCACUCUACAUCUUCAUCAUCAGAACUUGCAUAUGCUAAGCCCAGCAAACUUUUAACAGUAUUUUCCUGCCCGGUAUCAUUUUUAACUGCAUUCUCCUCUUUAAUCUCAUCUGUUUUACCUGAUUUUAACAAAAAGCACUCUUUCUCCUCCUGAUCAGACUUGGCAGAUUUUGCUGAAGAAUGAUCACAUGAAGUUCGUGUAGAAUGAUUUCCAUAAGAAUGGUUUGAAACCUUUGGCCGUUUCGGCUUAACUUCCACCACCUUCUUCAGCAGGUCUUGCUGCCUAAUCCCACUUUUUGGCUUUGGCUCAACACGUAGCGGCAAGGGAACUGAGGCAAGUGAAGAAUCUGCCAAACUUGCUGCUUUUUUAAAUGCAGCAAACGCCCGUUUCUCAGUCCGACGAAGAAGGCGUUCUGCAUCCUCUUCGGCUUCCAUCUGCUCCUUGAGAUAAAGCAAGUCAUCGCUGUCCAAGGCGCCUCGCCCAUGAAGGUAGCCUCCACGUUCUCCAGCAACCUCUUGCAUCUUGGCAACCAUGCGCUGGAAAGUGAUGUCUUCAUCAUCAAUUUUAUCCUUCCCUUUUCCCCAUUUCUUAUCUUUAGGAUCUGAAAGAUUGGUGUACUCCCGAACUUCUCUCCCUGCCAUUGUGAAUUGAUUUUGUAAUGUAUGUUAGAUUUGUGGAAUUGGUGUGACAGAAAAGCCGAGGAGUAGACCGCUGUUAAUGCGAAGAGGAUUGUAGAAUAGGGAGGAAGCGGCUUUGUCGGUUUUGUUUAG